UACGUAGGGUCCGAGCGUUGUCCGGAAUUAUUGGGCGUAAAGGGCUCGUAGGCGGUUCGUCACGUCGGGAGUGAAAACUCGGAGCUUAACUCCGAGCCUGCUUCCGAUACGGGCAGACUAGAGGUAGGCAGGGGAGAGCGGAACUCCUGGUGUAGCGGUGAAAUGCGCAGAUAUCAGGAAGAACACCCGUGGCUAAGGCGGUUCUCUAGUACGGUACUGACGCUGAGACGCGAAAGCGUGGGGAGCGAACAGG
rnacentral:rRNA from 1 species